rnacentral:rRNA from 1 species
GAGUUUGAUCAUGGCUCAGGACGAACGCUGGCGGCACGCCUAACACAUGCAAGUCGAACGGAGAUAUUUUGGUUUACUGAGAUAUCUUAGUGGCGGACGGGUGAGUAACACGUGAGCAACCUGCCUYUGAGAGAGGGAUAGCUUCUGGAAACGGAUGGUAAUACCUCAUAACAUAACGAAGCCGCAUGACUUUGUUAUCAAAGAUUUAUCACUCAGAGAUGGCUCGCGUYUGAUUAGAUAGUUGGUGAGGUAACGGCUCACCAAGUCGACGAUCAGUAGCCGGACUGAGAGGUUGAACGGCCACAUUGGGACUGAGACACGGCCCAGACUCCUACGGGAGGCAGCAGUGGGGAAUAUUGCACAAUGGGGGAAACCCUGAUGCAGCGAUGCCGCGUGGAGGAAGAAGGUUUUCGGAUUGUAAACUCCUGUCUAAAGGACGAUAAUGACGUACUWGGAGAGUUGKUC